rnacentral:rRNA from 1 species
UACAGAGGAGCCAAGCGUUGUCCGGAUUGACUGGGCGUAAAGCGCACGCAGGCGGACGCGCGCGUGGGGUGUGAAAUCUGGCCGCUUAACGGCCAGGCGCCAUCCCAUACGGCGCGUCUGGAGCAAUGCAGAGGUCGGUGGAAUUGCCGGUGUAGUGGUGAAAUGCGUAGAUAUCGGGAGGAACACCUGUGGCGAAAGCGGCUCACUGGACCACAACUGACGCUGAGGCGCGAAAGCUAGGGGAGCAAACAGG